rnacentral:rRNA from 1 species
CAGUCGCCGCGGGAAUACGUAGGUGGCAAGCGUUGUCCGGAAUUAUUGGGCGUAAAGGGCUCGCAGGCGGUUUCUUAAGUCUGAUGUGAAAGCCCCCGGCUCAACCGGGGAGGGUCAUUGGAAACUGGGAAACUUGAGUGCAGAAGAGGAGAGUGGAAUUCCACGUGUAGCGGUGAAAUGCGUAGAGAUGUGGAGGAACACCAGUGGCGAAGGCGACUCUCUGGUCUGUAACUGACGCUGAGGAGCGAAAGCGUGGGGAGCGAACAGGAUUAGAGACCCCGGUAGUCCCUGUCUCUUAUAC